UUUGAUAUUUCAUAUUUAGAAUGGUAGUUUCUUUUUGUUAACUUAUCAGAGUAGAUUUAGGCUUAGUUUGGUAUUGAGACCUAUCUAACGCUAUUAGAUAAAAUGGAGUUGAGGAAAAAGUAUAUAGGGAUAAGCUUCUACGUUCUCUGGUGGGAGCGCAGAAAAUAUAUCAUAACUGACUAAUCGCGAUAUGCAAAACGCAAUAUUACGUAAGGAAACAAACAGAAUAUUUUUCUAACGUACUUUCUCACCGUACAUAACGCAAUAUCCCGCAAUCCCAAACGAAACCUUAUUGUACUUUCACAAGCAUAAAAGAUUUGGUCCCUAAAUCACCCUUUUUAACCAUUUGUAACAUUUGGAUCAAUGUUAUUAUCCCAAGGAGACCAUUUAAUCCUAGAAAAUCACUCAACUCUGGGGACCACAAUUAUCCAAUUGUGCAAUUCUUGAUCGAAGGGCCAAAAGGUCGAAAGUAAAAAUCC
rnacentral:lncRNA from 1 species